rnacentral:ncRNA from 2 species
UGGUAUACGGGUGAUGGAGCUUGCCCGAGAAGCCAGGUGACCCUGGCUUUUCAAACCGCCAAGAUGGCUGAUAGCCCCUGAGAUCUU